UACUUGGAAAGGCAUCAGUUGCUUAGAUUACAUGUAACUAUUCCCUUUCUGAGUAGA
rnacentral:pre_miRNA from 1 species